ACUCAGCAAUGGACGCAGUCGCGAGCUGCGGCGAAAUCGCAAUCGCUGCGGCGGAUCAGCAAGUAGAUCAAUUGAUAGAUCAUGCUUGCUGCGCCGACGACUAUUUCGAGCAUGGCUUGCAUUUUGGGAAAAGCUAAGAGUGGUAUUGCCUAUUGAUAACCGAUAAGAAACCAGGGGUUUUGAAAGGUUUGCGACGCCUGGCAUCGUUGGGUGCGACCGCGGCCUACCCAACCUCGAUAUUUGUGCCUGUGUACGUUAAGUUUUGUGUUCGCUAAUUGCUAUACAUAAGAAGUCAUAAUUAAUAAUCGGAGUAUAGGUCGCAAUUACCACUACAGAUGCGGUAUCGUUGUCAUUUCGCAGAAUUGUACGACUAGUGAUGAUAUCAUCUAAUCGCCGUUUUGUUCGCUUCGUGGGUGGAUUAUUCCAAACUUGGUUCACGUAACGUAACGUCGUUUAUUGAUUCCGACAUCGCGCCUGCUCGUGAUAUUAGGUCGCGUCACUCGUUGUUAUAGUUUUCAAACCUGAUUCGGUGAUCCGAUACAAAAUCCUCGGUGUCAUCGUCAUCAGAAAAAAACCGCGGGCUAUCCCGGUUAAACACUGGGAAUACACCACAGCAUACACAUAACUAUAUAUGCCCCGGAUACCGACGAAGUUCAACAACGGGGGCUGCGCCCGAGUUUUCGGCAGGUGGAUUUCAGCAGGGGUGAUGCGGGGAUGUGGAUGAGGAUCGUCCCACAAGGUGGCCGGGAUGGCUGGGGUCACUAUAGCGCCUACGCCAGGGUCUUGUUUCUAGUACUCUUUCUGUGUCUCUUGGUGGUUGAAGCAGGUGCCAACUAUACAGACCCUGGUGGGGCAUCUAGUGUUGUUUCUGACAGCAGCAUUGCGCCCCGGUCUUCCCAGCCUACAGAUCUUUCCGCACCCGUCGGGUCUAGAAAUGACGAGUGCCGCAAUACCACUGUCAAACCUGUUACAGGUGAUGGCGGUUUAUCAGGGAUCAACCACGGAUCUUACCCAUACCCACCUGUGAUAUCAUCGACAUUUUUGAGUGGUGCUUUUACUUGUCAACCCUAUCACGGGGUCUAUGUUAAUCACAUCUACUUCCAAUUAGCCAAUGCAUUCUUCCUUCUCUCCCACCUUGCCCCUAGUGGCAUACACGGCGUUUUAUAUCUCCGAUGUACUCUACUUGUUGGUUGCGCCUUCCUCGCCCUUUGGGGAUGGGCUAUUGCCUGCUGGCUUGAUGCAGCUUUGUGGAAUGCGAUAUUCGUUGCAAUAAAUUUUGUUCACGUCUGUAUGCUCCUCUACAGACUUCGACCAGUCAAGUUCUCCAGAGAAGUUGAAGAGGUAUUUGUCGCAGUGUUCCAACCCCUGCGAGUGUCACGCCACCAAUUUAAAAAAGUUUUGAACUGUAUGAAAGGAAUCCGUCAACUCAAGUACCAAGAAGUUUAUGCACAGGAAAAAGUCACAAAAGUCGACUCACUUUCAUUGGUACUUUCUGGAAAGUUGGUGGUCUCGCAGAAUGGGAGAGCAUUACAUAUCGUAUUUCCGCAUCAAUUUCUUGAUUCUCCAGAAUGGUUUGGCGUAUCCACGGAUGAAUAUUUCCAAGUAUCUAUAACAGCAAUGGAGGAGUCCAGAAUACUACUCUGGCACAGAGACAAGCUCAAAUUGAGUAUCAUCACGGAUCAAUUUCUGCAAGCAGUAUUCGACCAUAUUCUUGGAAGGGACGUUGUUAAAAAGUUGAUGCAGGUGAGUGAGACAAUGGCGGCGAGUGGCCUCCAUCAGCAUCAAAAUGGGCAGGUUGUAGGCUUGGCUAGUGUCCCAGGUGUUGGGACAGGUUCUACCAAUGUUGAUAACAGCGAUUUGGAUACUAAGCUACAGCUGGUGGUAAAGAACAGUGGCGGCAAUGGUCAAGGUAUCACCGCACUCAUCAACCGGCAGCUACAAGAAGAGCGAGUGCCGCUGCUGUAUACGAGCCCCGACGUGCUGAACAACGCCCUUCAUCAUCCUAGGCACCUUCAUGCUCCGUACGUCCUCCCGUUGUGCCCGAUUCGCAAUAAUAAUCCCCAAGCAGAAUCCCCAACACACACGUGUGGCACGUAACCUUGCCUCGCCUCGCCUCGCCUCACCAUGCCACGCCACGCCAUGCCUUACGGUUCUUAUUUUUCCCCUCGGUUCUUAAACCAGGUUUGUCACGGAUCAAAUACUAUUACUGUGCAGCUGCAGGGGACCCCAAUGCUUGGCGAUUAGGAAGGAUCGAAGAAGCUGACCAUGAGACACCUGUCUAACACAUGAAGGGAGGGCACCCACCCACCAAAUGCUUGAUGGACAAUCGAUCACUAUACUUCUUGAUUCGCGAUAGAACUAGAGUGUUGUGCAGUUUUUGAGAGAUUGAAGUUUACUCAUUGAAACGUGGGUGUGAGGGGGUAAUCGAGUGAGUGCAUAAAUUAAUCACGAAUUUGAAUGGUUUUUUUUGUGAUCUUAUGUUAUUGUGUUAUUACAGUGCGGUGUUAUUACGUCAUCUAACUAUUGACAGUUGAAACCGAUUGAUGGAACGUUGAAUAUACACUACACGUUAGCACAGGUUUUUCCACCUACUUGAAUCAUGUACUGUAAAUUGCGAUACCUGUCUAUCUGUGAAUGUGUGUGCGUAGAGUGUGCGUCUACUCGAUGCUUCCAUUUAUCAUUCGGUGUACACCAUAGUAUUUAUAAUUGUACAGUGUGGUAAGUCGUGUGAGGGAGAUUAAUAUGAAUACUCAAUGGAGCUUACAUUGUAUUGAUAUUUUAUUGAUUCUAUCAAAAGAGAAAAUCUGUACAAAUGAAUGCAUCCAAUUGUUAUACUAAA